AAAAAAGCCGGAAUAGCU
rnacentral:tRNA from 5 species